rnacentral:lncRNA from 1 species
GUAUUUUUCGCUUAGCAUCAGGUUUUUUAAAGUGAUGUCGUCAAUGUUUUAUUCUAAUAUCAAUUUCACUUUGUCACGCCAUUCCUUCCCCUAGCUCCCUCAAAAAUUUUCAUUCCCUCUCUCUGUUGCCCAAACCCUCAAACCAAACCCCUCUGUUACCACAACCUCUUCUCCCAAAUCCUACAGUGGCUACCUCUUCUCCCUAAUCCUACAGUGGCUACCUCUUCUCCCACCCCAAACUUUUCCCUUCAUUCUUGACAUUGAUUUUCCUCUAACCCCCAGACACGGUUCAAAAUAAAAAGACAAGACAAGAUGAUCGGGACUAAUGCCAUUUCAAAACGCACAAAAGAGAGAGAAAAAGAAAGAGUGUGUGCUUUUUGAAAUUUUUGUAUCAGAAAUUGAAUACAGUAGUAAAGAUGAAACCCCCAUUUGUUGAG